GAGGAACUGGCCUUGGACUCGGAAAGGCUCCUGCAGCAACUUGGAGGCAGCUGAAGCCGCCAGGCCCUUCCAGAGAUAGAAUGUAAAGCUGGAUAUUUCAUCUUCAAAAAGGGCAACCAGAAAGGUCAAUGGUCACUCACUUCAUCCGUGGCUCAUGUUGCAAUCAAUUCUGAUUCUUUUCAGUCCUGAUCUGUCCCUGGCUUGCACCCGUUCCUUCAGAAUAAGAGACCCGAAUCAGCCAGGUUGCUCAUAUCUACUCCACUUCUACAGCAGCUGGAACAUCCCUGGAGUUGCAUAGCGAGGGCUUUAAUUCUUGUGAUGUAACUGAAUAGAUGACUAUUUCUAAACCAAUCAACUUUUGCUUGGAAGUUCUUUGUUGUACUAACCAUGAAAGUAAACGUGAUCCUUUCCCCCCUUUUCGUAGGGAGACCCCACUUUAUGAGAGGACUCUCAUAAAGGGCUUUUAAAUGA